UACGGAGGGUCCGAGCGUUGUCCGGAAUUACUGGGCGUAAAGAGCUCGUAGGUGGUUUGUCGCGUUGUUCGUGAAAACUCACAACUCAAUUGUGGGCGUGCGGGCGAUACGGGCAGACUUGAGUACUGCAGGGGAGACUGGAAUUCCUGGUGUAGCGGUGAAAUGCGCAGAUAUCAGGAGGAACACCGGCGGCGAAGGCGGCCCCCUGGCCCGCAACUGACGCUCAUGGUCGAAAGCGUGGGGAGCAAACAGG
rnacentral:rRNA from 1 species